UCAAGAGUGUUCCAUUCUUUGAGAAUAGGGCAUUGAGAUAGAACCUGUAGACAUGAGAUAGAACUGUGUGCAUCCUGGAAAUUGCACAUGGUUCAGAUUGAUUGGGAAAUAGAGUGUGGAUGGGAAGUGAUGAAAGCUGAGUCAGUAGAGUUCGAUGGGGGUCAAAUUGUGAAAGAGUGUGAGCUCUGCUAAGGAGAUGAUAUUUUAGCUUAAAUACCAGAAGAGCCAUUGAAUUAUUUUAAGCAUAGGAGUGAUCUAAUCGGAACUCUGCUUGAGAAAGAUAACCCUGGUUGCUGUGUGAAAAAAUAUACCAGAGGCAAACAAAGUUGAAGCCAGGAGACCAGUUAAAAGACAAAAUUCAUAAUUUAUAUGAGAUAUGAUGAUAGUUUGACUUAGGCUGUGAUUGACAUUGCAGAGUAACAUAUCGCAUUCAAGAGAUGUUUGGAUGAUGAAACCAAGAGGGCUUGGAAAUUGAUUGGAUAUGAGGCAUUAGAGGAAUAUGUUAGGGCUAGAUCCCAGGAUUCUGGUUUAGAUAAUUGGAUAGACAAUUAAAGCAGAAACUAUUGAAGAAGGGGAGAAGAUAAAGAGUUUUGAUUUUCAUUUCAAUUCUAAGGUAUUCUUGGAAAUAUAAGUAGAGGAUGCUGAUGGGGGUUGGUUAUAAAGCAAAUUCAAGAGUGAGACUUCUGGAGUUAAGAUACAUAAUCGGAUCUGUAAGAAUGAAAGAAAGAAGUUGUUCAGGGACUAUGUGUACAGUAUGAAGACCAACAUAUAAAUGAAAUAUAAAAGAACAAAAGCUGACAAUGGAGUCUGUGAAAGAGCAAACAAAAAAAUGAGGAAGAGAACAGAGCAUGAAGUCACAGAAACCAAGGGAAGAAAAUUUUAGAUGCCGAUCAAAGAUCAAGGAAAAUAAAGAUAAAAAUGUGUCAAUUAGAUUUGGUAUUAAAGAAAGCAUUAGUAUCUUUUUGAAUACAAUUUUAUGGCUGCAUGGCAAAGAAUCAGAUGACUGGAAUCAGGAAGUGAAUAGAAAGUGAGAAAUGAAAAGGGCUCUCGAUAAGGUUUCCCUUAUUGAGAUAGGAGGUAAGCUCUAAUGUUUAUUUGAAGUUUUUUUUUUUCUUCCAAAGCUGGGAAAGAUUUAAUAAAGUAUGAAUGCUUUUAAGGAAAAGUUUGUAGACAGAGAUUUUUUGACAAUAGUAGAGCAAAUCAUGGCGAAAUAAUUGAUAGGAUGAGGUCCCAAGAAAGCAAGAACACUCCUUGAGGAAGAAGCUUUCCAUUUUAACAGGCAGUAACAAAGAGCAAUGAAUCAGGAUGAGUCUACGUUUGUCAGUUUAGAGUGGAAAUUGUUGGUAGAGCUCAUGGGACAACUCCUAUUUUACUUGUGACAAAAGCUUAACUGCUGAGAGCAAACAGGGUGGUGGGAUCAGCUAUUAUUUUUAAAUGGAGAAAUUUAAAAAUCACAAUUGCGAAGUAAAAUCUUUCAAGAAAGAUAGAAGAGGAAUACUGCUUAGUGCUGUGCGCCUCUUUGAAGUCAGAGUUGAUGCAGUGACCACCAUGCCAAGGGCUGCUUCGGGGCUUUCUCCCACAGCGCUCAUUGAGCUAUGUGAGAAGGCGAAGAUGGAAAAUAGGUGAAUGACAGCACACAUAUCACACGAGUUUGGCAAGAGGAUAAGUGAGGCAAGGGUAGCAGCAAGAGAGUGAAGAAAAUGCUCAGCCAGAAAACCUAAGCUGACUAUGAAAGAAGGAAAACAGUUCCACAGACUGGAGAGUUGCAAGAGAUACAGAUUAAGCAACAGUAAUUAACUGAAGAAGAAUUAAUUAACUGAAAGAAGUAAUUAACUUCUUUCUUAGAAGAAGAAGAAAAAACGGUAAUAUCCUGAGCAUGUAUGUUUUACUUUACUAUGACAUAAAGAGUCCACGGAGAUCUAAAUAAAUAUUUGUUGAAUGAUGAACGAGUGG
rnacentral:lncRNA from 1 species